AAUAAAAGUAAUAACGAGUAUUCGAGGAAUUGCUUGGGUUUAGAAUAAUAAGGUAAAAAAAAUAGUUCUAUUAGAGAAACUUUGAAAAUAGAAUAACCUAUCUAGAAAACUAGAUUAUAUUUAAUAAACUCUGUGAACUGAAACAUCUUAGUAACAGAAGGAAAAGAAAUCAAAAGAGAUUAAGUGAGUAGCGGUGAGCGAAAAUUUAAAUAGUCUUUUAAUCAUUAAAUUUAUCUUUAUAUUUUUGAGUGAAAACCAUAGAAGGUAAUAGUCCUGUAAUUAUAAAAUAAAGUUAUAAAAAUGAUUAAUAAAGUAGAAUAGUAACAAGUUUGAAAAAAGGAGUACCAUACUUCUAAGACUAAAUAUGAUUCUAAACACCGAUAGUGAACAAGUAACGUGAGUGAAAGCUGAAAAAGAUUUGCAAGGCAAAGUGAAAAGAACAUGAAUUCGAAUAUUUAUAAGCAAUCAAACAUAUAUAUUAAUAUAUGAAUGAUGUACCUUUUGUAUAAUGGAUUUGCAAGUUAUUUAUAUUAGCAAGUAUAAAUUGUUAUAAAUGUAUACUUAGGGAAACCAAGUGAAAAAAAGCGUUUAAGUUAAUAUAAAUAGGACCCGAAACCUUGUGAUCUUUCCAUGAUCAGUUUGAAAUAUAAGAUAAUAUCUUAUUGGAGGAACGAACCUGUAUUUGUUGCAAUAAAUUAGGAUGAAUUGUGGAAAGGGGUGAAAUGCUAAUCGAACAAGGAGAUAGCUGGUUAUCUGCGAAAUAGAUUUAGGUCUAGCGUUUAAUUAAUAAAUUAUAUGGUAAGGCUCUUAUGGAAUUUUUGGUAUUGUUAUGCAAUAUACUUAAUUCCUUUAACCCCAUUUUAUUAUAUUUUUAUAUAAAUUUUAAUUUUUUAUAAAUUUUAUAAAUUUUAUAAUUUUUAUAAAUUUUUAUUUUUUAUAUUAUUUAUAUAAUUUUUAAUAUAUAAUUUUUGUAUUUAUUAGGCAGACAGACUAAAGGUGAUAAGGUCUUUAGUCAAAAGGGAAACAGCCCUAAACAAUAGUUAAGGUCAUUAAUUUUUAUUAAGUGCUAAAGACCCGUUAUUUUACUUAUACAGCUAAUAAGUAGGCUUGGAAACAGCCAUCUUUUAAAAAAAACGUAACAGUUUAUUAGAAUUAGUAAAAUAGCAUCAAAAAUUAUGGUGACUAAAUAAAAAACCGAAACUUUGUUUGUAAUUAAUUUUUAAAUAUUAUUAAUUAUUUAUAAUUUUUAUAAAUUUAUUUUUAAUAUUUUUAUAUUUUUAUAUUUUUAUAUUUUUAAUAUUUUAAUAUAUUUUAAUAUAUACUAUAUAAAUUACAAGGUAGCAGAUCGUUUAGUUAAUUAAUUAAUUAAUAUAUUGUAAAAUAAACUAAAGUGACAAUGCAAAUAUGAGUAAUGAUAAUAUCUUUGAAAUUAAGAUACACCGUAAAUUCUAGGUUUCCAACUCACUGAAAAACAUAGUUGGUUGAUACAGUCCCUAAGUUAACAUAUUCGAAAGAAGUAAAAACAAUGGGUUGAUUUAUAAUGACUUUUAUAAUUUAAUUAUUAUGAAACUAGAAAUAAUAUAAAUCAUAUAAUACUGUACUAAAUCUGACACAAGUGAAUAGGUAGAAUAUACUAAGGUGAUAAUUUAAAUCUUUUUAGGGAACUCGGCAAAAUGAGUCCGUACGUUCGCAAUAAGGACUAUUUAUAUAAUUGAAUUAUUAUAUGAAUCUCAGUAAAUUGACAAGGUGGACUGUUUACCAAAAACACAGCUUAUAGAAACAUGAAAAUGGAAGUAUUAUAAGCGACCCCUGCCCAAUGAUUGUAUCUUAAAAUGAAAGGUGAAAGCUUUUUAUAUAAAGACAAUUUAAUGGCUGCGGUAACCAUGACCGUACUAAGGUAGCGCAAUCAAUCGUCUAUUAAUUGUAGACAAGUAUGAAUGGGGUAACCAACUUUGUACUGUCCUAAAAAGAAAAUUAAUGAAAUUGAAUUUGUAGUUAAGAUGCUACAUAAUAAUUACAAGACAAGAAGACCCUACGCAGCUUUACUGUUAUUAUUUACUGUAUUAAUGUUAUAUAUUUAUAGAAUAAUUGGGUUAUUCUAUGAUUUAAUAUACGUCAGUAUAUUAUUUAAGAAAUAAUUGAAAUACCAAUAUUAUAUAAACAUUAAUAUCUAACUUUACAAAAUAUUAAAUUAUUAAAAUUUAUUUUUUUUAUAUUUUUUAAUUUUUUAAUAAAAGGAACUUUAAAUAAGAGACAGUUUUAUUGGGGCGAUAGUCUUUUAAAAUGUAACAAAGACUUACAAUAGGUCUACUCAUAAUUAUUUGAAAUAAUUAGUAGAGCAUAAUCGUAUAAGUAGGCUUGACUGUGAAUCUGAUAAGAUAAACAGGUUCUAACGAAGGUGAUAGUGACCCGUUUAUAUUGAAUGGAAAAGUAAACGAUCAUAAGUUAAGUUACGCUAGGGAUAACAGCAUAAUUACAACAGAGAGUUCAUAUCGAUGUUGUAGUUUGUGACCUCGAUGUUGGAUUGCCAUAUCCUGAGGGUUGCAGUAGCUCUCAAGGGUUGGACUGUUCGUCCAGUAAUAUGGUACAUGAUCUGAGUUCAGGGCGUUGUGAAACAGCUCGGCUUAUAUCUGUAAUUAUGAAUUACUAAUUGUGUGGCUUUUUUUGUACGCAAGGAUCAAAAAGUCUAUCCCUAUGGUGUAUCUGUUGUUUAUAUAUAUAAGCAGCGCAGAGUAGCUACGGAUUAAUCUUAUAAAAACUGAAAGCAUCUCAAGUUUGAAAAAUACACAAUUAUAGGUAAUAAAACUACAGUAGACUACUGUUUUAUAGGCAAAAAGUGUUAGCUUAUUUGUACUAAUAGUUUGUUAAACUUUAUUUU
rnacentral:rRNA from 1 species